rnacentral:rRNA from 1 species
UACGUAGGGAGCAAGCGUUGUCCGGAAUCAUUGGGCGUAAAGAGCGCGUAGGUGGCUUUAUAAGUCCGUUGUGAAAGUCAAAGGCUCAACCUUUGAAAGCCGAUGGAUACUGUGAAGCUAGAGUACGGAAGAGGCGAGUGGAAUUCCUAGUGUAGAGGUGAAAUUCGUAGAUAUUAGGAAGAACACCAGUGGCGAAGGCGGCUCACUGGCCCGGUACUGACGCUGAGGUGCGAAAGCGUGGGGAGCAAACAGG